ensembl:lncRNA
AUGUGGGGAUCACUUCCUGAAACCCUUCCCUAGCACUAUACUUCUAACUGAAAGGUGGUAGAGAAUAGUGGUUAAAGCCUUAGAUCUGGGGUCCAGAGUCUGGGAUUCCCAGGUCAAACUUGGCUGAGCAGCAGAAUCACCAGAGAGAACUAAAUAGGAAAUACAGACUUCUGGGCCCCACCCUUGCAAACUCUGAUUCAGUUGAUCUGGAAUAUAGCAAAAAAAAAAAAAAAAAUCAAUUUUUUUCCCAAAAUUCCAGAUACUUCUGAUAAACAGGUUUAGGAACCACUGGUCUACCCUAGGGCAUUGGUCUCUAAAGUGGGAGGGACACAUCUGGGCGGGAAGACCAAGAUAAGUUAAUAAGGAUGUGGGAAGAAUAUAUUACAAUUUCCAUUCGUAUUUGUUUUCAGUUUAAAAAUUAGGAAUGAGAUUGAGUUUUACUAAUAUUUCAUAUACUGAUUGACACUGGUGUCCUCACUGGGUCUGCAUGUUAGAUUAUAUGCAAAGUAUCCUGAGGGAAGGAUUGAGGUUCCAAACUCAGGGCUGUUGGUAAUAGCCACUCGCUUACUCAUUCUCUUUCAGCUUCUUAUUAUAUUAUCCAAUAUUAACUAAACUACUCUUUCCAAAAUGGGCACACCUUGAAAAUGUUCCUGCAAAGAGACUGAAGCUAGCAGAUAAUAUUUAAGAUGCAAGCACAGAGAGCAAGAAUAAAAUGGCAGAAUUGACAUGCCUCUUACUCCUAUCACAAGUUCAUCAUCAUUUGUUUUAUGAGGAAAAUAAAAAACAAUCUAAUCAGCUCUCAAAAGAAAUGGGUCAAAAGUGUUUCAGUCAUCAAGACUAUUUAAUAUGGAUUUAUAGCACCAUCAUUGAAUCACUCCCUAAAAACAUAUGUUCCUGUGCACAUUUGCUAAUAGAUAGUGUGUCUGGACUCAAUUUUUUUCUGAUGGCAGUGCCAAAUGGGAAAGCUUGAAGAACACUGCAUCGGGGAGAAAGCAGCUAUUGCUUAUCCUUUUUCCACCUCCUGGAAACGUUGUGAUCUCUCCCUGUUUCUGUUCAGCUCUUCAUGGGUUCCCUGCCUCUGUGUCCUGCAGAGCACAGUAGUAAGUGGCAGCGUCUGCCACCUGCACCUGGAGGAUGAGCAGUGAUGAGGAGAAUCGCUCGUAUGUCAUGUUGUAGCGUCCCUGCUGAGAAGGGCUUGAGCCCCUAACAAGGAGUCUUGGUGCACAUCCUGGGAGAUGAAGGUACCAGAAGAAACUGUAAGCAUUGGAUAUAGAGUGAUUACAGGAGAUUUCUGCCACAGCUCCCUCCGAAGAUACCACAGUGGAAGGCUGAAGUACUUGGUCCUUGCUCUCUGCAACUGCAGGGAACAAAUAAAGAAGGCUGUGAUUUUUAUGCUGCUGUUUGACUUACUGAUCACCCCUUAGAUGAUGAAGGAGUCUACUCACCCUUCCAGAGAAAGCUGAGGAGGAGGCCCAGCCACACCGCUUCCAGAGCACUCUGUAAAGCCAUGGCCAAAAUGCAGCUGGUCUCAGGCCUCAGCUAUUUUCUUGUGAUUAUAAUUGAAAAAGAAGAAUAAACAAGAUUUGAGGCAAUUCAAAGUCUAUACAGUGAAGUUUUGAUGGGCACCACUGCCUCCUAGUGGACUACAUGGGAACUGAUGGGAAAUCUUUUUUCCCUACGGAGCCGAAGACAGUGUUGGGAGCCUCUCCCAUCUUGAACAGAUUUCAUACCCUUUCCUUUUGUU